rnacentral:rRNA from 1 species
GAUGAACGCUGGCGGCGUGCCUAAUACAUGCAAGUCGAGCGAAGCGGGGACGGGGGAGUAACACGUAGAUAACCUCCUAUAAGACUGGGAUAACUUCGGGAAACCGGAGCUAAACCGGAUACUUAGAGAUGGAUCCGCGGUGCAUUAGCUAGUUGGUAAGUUAACGGCUUACCAAGGCCACGAUGCAUAGCCGACCUGAGAGGGGGAUCGGCCACACUGGGACUGAGACACGGUCCAGACUCCUACGGGAGGCAGCAGUAGGGAAUCUUCCGCAAUGGGCGAAAGCCUGACCGAGCAACGCCGCGUGAGUGAUGAAGGUUUUCGGAUCGUAAAACUCUGUUGUUAGGGAAGCGGUACCUAAUCAGAAAGCCACGGCUAACUCCGUGCCAGCAGCCGCGGUAAUAC